GCAUGUGCGCGAGUCAUUGGGACUCUGUUAAACCUAAAGGCGCAAUGAAAGUAAAGGUCCGCCUCGCGCGGACCGAGGGAGGAUGGGCCCGUCCCCGGGCGGGCCCCGCACUCCCGGGGCGUCUCGUUCUCAUCGCGAGAAGAGGCGCACCCAGAGCGUACACGCUGGGACCCGAAAGAUGGUGAACUAUGCCUGGUCAGGACGAAGUCAGGGGAAACCCUGAUGGAGGUCCGUAGCGAUUCUGACGUGCAAAUCGAUCGUCGGAACUGGGUAUAGGGGCGAAAGACUAAUCGAA
rnacentral:rRNA from 3 species